rnacentral:rRNA from 1 species
UACAGAGGUCUCAAGCGUUGUUCGGAUUCACUGGGCGUAAAGGGUGCGUAGGUGGUGAGGUAAGUCGGAUGUGAAAGCUCCAAGCUCAACUUGGAAAUGGCAUUGGAAACUACCUUGCUAGAGGGUUUGAGGGGGGACUGGAAUACUUGGUGUAGCAGUGAAAUGCGUAGAUAUCAAGUGGAACACCAGUGGCGAAGGCGAGUCCCUGGAAAACUCCUGACACUGAGGCACGAAAGCUAGGGGAGCAAACAGG